rnacentral:rRNA from 1 species
CAUAGGUUAAUGAGGCGAACCGGGGGAACUGAAACAUCUAAGUACCCCGAGGAAAAGAAAUCAACCGAGAUUCCCCCAGUAGCGGCGAGCGAACGGGGAGCAGCCCAGAGCCUGAAUCAGUGUGUGUGUUAGUGGAAGCGUCUGGAAAGGCGCGCGAUACAGGGUGACAGCCCCGUACACAAAAAUGCACAUGCUGUGAGCUCGAUGAGUAGGGCGGGACACGUGGUAUCCUGUCUGAAUAUGGGGGGACCAUCCUCCAAGGCUAAAUACUCCUGACUGACCGAUAGUGAACCAGUACCGUGAGGGAAAGGCGAAAAGAACCCCGGCGAGGGGAGUGAAAAAGAACCUGAAACCGUGUACGUACAAGCAGUGGGAGCACGCUUCGGCGUGUGACUGCGUACCUUUUGUAUAAUGGGUCAGCGACUUAUAUUCUGUAGCAAGGUUAACCGAAUAGGGGAGCCGAAGGGAAACCGAGUCUUAACUGGGCGUUAAGUUGCAGGGUAUAGACCCGAAACCCGGUGAUCUAGCCAUGGGCAGGUUGAAGGUUGGGUAACACUAACUGGAGGACCGAACCGACUAAUGUUGAAAAAUUAGCGGAUGACUUGUGGCUGGGGGUGAAAGGCCAAUCAAACCGGGAGAUAGCUGGUUCUCCCCGAAAGCUAUUUAGGUAGCGCCUCGUGAAUUCAUCUCCGGGGGUAGAGCACUGUUUCGGCAAGGGGGUCAUCCCGACUUACCAACCCGAUGCAAACUGCGAAUACCGGAGAAUGUUAUCACGGGAGACACACGGCGGGUGCUAACGUCCGUCGUGAAGAGGGAAACAACCCAGACCGCCAGCUAAGGUCCCAAAGUCAUGGUUAAGUGGGAAACGAUGUGGGAAGGCCCAGACAGCCAGGAUGUUGGCUUAGAAGCAGCCAUCAUUUAAAGAAAGCGUAAUAGCUCACUGGUCGAGUCGGCCUGCGCGGAAGAUGUAACGGGGCUAAACCAUG